rnacentral:tRNA from 1 species
GGUCUCAUGGUGUAGUUGGUUAUCACAUCUGUCUAACAUCAUCCGAAAGGACAUGUUGGGACACAGAAGGUCUCCAGUUCGAUCCUGGAUGAGACCA